ACAGAUGGGCAGAGCAUAGCUGUCAUAUCUUCAUGACAGAGGAAAGUCCGGACUGCAUGGGACGGCAUAUCGGCUAAUGACCGAGCGGAGCAAUCCGACGAUUAGAGCAACAGUGACGAAUCGAUUGAAACACAUCGGGUGAAACGGGCAAUCUCUAUGCGCAGCAACCUCAAAUAGGUCUCUUAUAAGUUUGUCCCAAACGAUAGAGACGGGUAGAGGGCUUGACAUUUUGUGGUAACACAAUCUGCAGAUUAAUUAUGCUCGCUACCCCAGAUUGGUUAGCAAAACUGAACUGGGGCAGAACAGAAUCCGGCUUACAGUCCAUCUGUUAAA
rnacentral:RNase_P_RNA from 1 species